rnacentral:rRNA from 1 species
UGGGGAAUUUUGCGCAAUGGACGAAAGUCUGACGCAGCAACGCCGCGUGGGUGAUGAAGGUCUUCGGAUCGUAAAACCCUGUCGUCAGGGACGAAGGGUUGGGGCCUAAUACGCCUUGACCUUGACGGUACCUGGAGAGGAAGCCCCGGCUAACUCUGUGCCAGCAGCCGCGGUAAUACAGAGGGGGCAAGCGUUAUUCGGAAUUAUUGGGCGUAAAGGGCGCGUAGGCGGUUCUUUAAGUCGGAUGUGCAAUCCCCGAGCUCAACUUGGGAACUGCAUCCGAGACUGGAGAGCUAGAGUGCUGGAGAGGGUGGUGGAAUUCCACGUGUAGCGGUGAAAUGCGUAGAGAUGUGGAGGAACACCAGUGGCGAAGGCGGCCACCUGGACAGUAACUGACGCU